UUGGACAAUGGGGGGAACCCUGAUCCAGCCAUGCCGCGUGUGUGAAGAAGGUCUUCGGAUUGUAAAGCACUUUUGUUUGGGAGGAAGAGUUGUAGGGUAAUACCUUCCAAUUAUGACGCUACAAACCGAAUAAGCACCGGCUCACUUCGUCCCAGCAGCCGAGGUAAUACGAAGGGUUCAAGCGUUAAUCGGAAUUACUGGGCGUAAAGCGCGCGUAGGUGGUUCGUUAAGUUGGAAGUGAAAGCCCCGGGCUUAACCUGGGAAUUGCUUUCAAAACUGACGAGCUAGAGUACGGUAGAGGGUAGUGGAAUUUCCUGUGUAGCGGUGAAAUGCGUAGAUAUAGGAAGGAACAUCAGUGGCGAAGGCGACUACCUGGACUGAUACUGACACUGAGGUGCGAAAGCGUGGGGAGCAAACAAG
rnacentral:rRNA from 1 species